GAUCUGAACUAAAUUCCAGCCUCGGACACUUACUAUCUGGAGGAUCUGGGCCAGUCAAUUAAUCCUUAUUUGCCUCAUUUCUCAUUUGUAAAAAUGAAGACGCACUGGAGAAGGAAGUGGCGAACUACUCAGGUGUCUGCCAAGAAAAACCCAUAGGCAGAAGAAGUUGGGCAAGACUGAACAACAAAUGUCCCAGGCUAGAUGCUUUACAAUUAUUACCUUGUUCGAGCCUCACAGCAGCCCCAAGAGCUCAUUUUAUAGUCGAGGAAAUUGAGGAAAACUGGGUUAAGUAACUUUUCACACAGAUUGUAAAUGUCUGAGGCCGGAGUUGAACUCGGAAAGAAUGUGAUGAUGCAGGUUCAAAUCCCAGUAGAAUGAAGCACCAUGAAGAGGUGCUCCAUCUUCUAUUUCAACACAUUCAGAAACUGGCAACCCUGGCUGCCACUGGACAUCUUGAGCUCUUAGAAAAUCCUAGUUUAUACUGAGCAACGUCUGCCUCUCUGUAUCUUCCAGACAUCUCACCUAAU